GACCAGCACACAGUUGGUGUGCUGACAAUUCUCUGCUUUAUUCUGCUGCACUACAUGGAGCCAGAGUCCAAAUGAUGAGAGGGAUCCUAGACCAUGUGGGCUUUGAGAAUGGACUGAUGAGGAACUUGACAUGAUCCCACCUGAAAGAACAUGUAAGGCUCUUGCUGCUGCCACCUUCCUGGAUAUUCACCUCUGUUACCAUCACAAACACACGGACACCAGGCGUAAAGUGCUCCAGCUGAGACCCAUCCUUGUCC